rnacentral:rRNA from 1 species
UUGGAGGGCAAGUCUGGUGCCAGCAGCCGCGGUAAUUCCAGCUCCAAUAGCGUAUAUUAAAGUUGUUGCAGUUAAAAAGCUCGUAGUUGAAUUUCGGAAUCUGUCCAUUGGUCGGGCUUCACUGUCCGUACUGGUGUGGUGGGUUCUUACCUUCUGAAUAACCAGCAUGCCAUUCAUUUGGUGCGUUGGGGAAGCAGGACUAUUACCUUGAAAAAAUUAGAGUGCUCAAAGCAGGCUAGUGCCUGAAUACAUUAGCAUGGAAUAAUAAAAUAGGACGGCAUGGUUCUAUUUUGUUGGUUUCUAGGAUCACCGUAAUGAUUAAUAGGGAUAGUUGGGGGCAUUAGUAUUCAAUUGUCAGAGGUGAAAUUCUUGGAUUUAUUGAAGACUAACUUCUGCGAAAGCAUUUGCCAAGGAUGUUUUCAUUAAUCAAGAACGAAAGUUAGGGGAUCGAAGACGAUCAGAUACCGUCGUAGUCUUAACCAUAAACUAUGCCGACUAGGGAUCGGAUGAUGUUAAUUUUUUAAUGACUCAUUCGGCGCCUUACGGGAAAC